rnacentral:piRNA from 1 species
UUGAUCUCUCCUCUUUUAAUA